AUUGAACGCUGGCGGCAGGCCUAACACAUGCAAGUCGAACGGUAGCACAGAGAGCUUGCUCUCGGGUGACGAGUGGCGGACGGGUGAGUAAUGUCUGGGAAACUGCCUGAUGGAGGGGGAUAACUACUGGAAACGGUAGCUAAUACCGCAUAACGUCGCAAGACCAAAGAGGGGGACCUUCGGGCCUCUUGCCAUCAGAUGUGCCCAGAUGGGAUUAGCUAGUAGGUGGGGUAACGGCUCACCUAGGCGACGAUCCCUAGCUGGUCUGAGAGGAUGACCAGCCACACUGGAACUGAGACACGGUCCAGACUCCUACGGGAGGCAGCAGUGGGGAAUAUUGCACAAUGGGCGCAAGCCUGAUGCAGCCAUGCCGCGUGUAUGAAGAAGGCCUUCGGGUUGUAAAGUACUUUCAGCGAGGAGGAAGGCGAUACGGUUAAUAACCGUGUCGAUUGACGUUACUCGCAGAAGAAGCACCGGCUAACUCCGUGCCAGCAGCCGCCGUAA
rnacentral:rRNA from 1 species